UUCGAAGGGUGCAAACGUUGCUCGGAAUUAUUGGGCGUAAAGCGCACGUAGGCGGCUUAGCAAGUCGGAUGUGAAAUCCCUCGGCUCAACCAAGGAAGUGCAUCCGAAACUGCUGAGCUUGAGUACGAAAGAGGAUCGCGGAAUUCCCGGUGUAGAGGUGAAAUUCGUAGAUAUCGGGAGGAACACCAGUGGCGAAGGCGGCGAUCUGGGUCGAUACUGACGCUGAGGUGCGAAAGCUAGGGGAGCGAACGGG
rnacentral:rRNA from 1 species